GUUGGGCAUGGUGGCGCAUGCCUGUAAUCCUAGCAGCUCGGGAGGCUGAGAUAGGAGGAUUGCAAGUUCAAAGCCAGACUUAGCAACUGGGAGGUGCUAAGCACCUCAGUGAAACCUUGUCUCUA
rnacentral:sRNA from 1 species